CCUACGGGGGGCAGCAGUGGGGAAUAUUGGACAAUGGGGGCAACCCUGAUCCAGCCAUGCCGCGUGUGUGAAGAAGGCCCUCGGGUUGUAAAGCACUUUCAGUGAGGAAGAACGCCUGGUGGUUAAUACCCAUCAGGAAAGACAUCACUCACAGAAGAAGCACCGGCUAACUCCGUGCCAGCAGCCGCGGUAAUACGGAGGGUGCGAGCGUUAAUCGGAAUUACUGGGCGUAAAGCGCGCGUAGGUGGCUUGAUAAGCCGGUUGUGAAAGCCCCGGGCUCAACCUGGGAACGGCAUCCAGAACUGUCAAGCUAGAGUGCAGGAGAGGAAGGUAGAAUUCCCGGUGUAGCGGUGAAAUGCGUAGAGAUCGGGAGGAAUACCAGUGGCGAAGGCGGCCUUCUGGACUGACACUGACACUGAGGUGCGAAAGCGUGGGUAGCAAACAGGAUUAGAUACCCGGGUAGUC
rnacentral:rRNA from 1 species